GUGAAGGCGAUGAUGUUGAAAAACUACCUAUUUUAUGAAGGAAUUGAGAAUUUUCCUUUAUGAUUAGAAAAUUACCAAUGGAUCCUUCUGAGCCUUCCA
rnacentral:snoRNA from 2 species